rnacentral:lncRNA from 1 species
GCUGCCCCACGGACAGAUCGGACCCACGGCUGGACCCAUGGCCGGACCCACACCUGCCCCAUAGAUACCCCAGCCCCACAUCUGCCCCAUGACUGCCCCACAGCUGCCCCAUGGACAGACCCACGGACAGAUCUGACCCACGGACAGACCCACAGCCAGCCCCACAUCUGCUCCCCACCACCACCACCCUGCCCCAUAUCCUGCCCCAUAGAUGCCCCAGCCCCACAUCUGCCCCAUAGCUGCCCCACAGCUGCCCCACGGACAGAUCUGACCCACGGCCGGACCCACAGCCAGCCCCACAUCUGCUCCCCACCACCACCACCCUGCCCCAUAGCCAGCCCCACGGCUGCCCCAUAGAUACCCCAGCCCCACAUCUGCCCCAUAGCCAGCCCCAUGGCUGCCCCACGGCCAGGCCUGCCCCACAUCUCCCCCCCCCCCCCCCAGCCCCCCCCCCACCCGCCCCCCCCCCCACCACCACCCUGCCCCAUAUCCUGCCCCAUAACCUUGCAAUAAAGGCCUGGGUGCAACCA